rnacentral:rRNA from 1 species
UACGAAGGGGGCUAGCGUUGCUCGGAAUCACUGGGCGUAAAGCGCACGUAGGUGGGUCGUUAAGUCGGGGGUGAAAUCCCGAGGCUCAACCUCGGAACUGCCUUCGAUACUGGAAGUCUUGAGUCCGGGAGAGGUGAGUGGAACUCCGAGUGUAGAGGUGAAAUUCGUAGAUAUUCGGAAGAACACCAGUGGCGAAGGCGGCUCACUGGCCCGGUACUGACGCUGAGAUACGAAAGCGUGGGGAGCAAACAGG